rnacentral:rRNA from 1 species
GGCGUCCGAGUUGUAAUUUGUAGAGGAUGCUAUUGGGUUGCCACCGGUCUAAGUUCCUUGGAACAGGACGUCACAGAGGGUGAGAAUCCCGUACGUGACCGGCCAGGCGCUCUCUGUAUAGCUCCUUCGACGAGUCGGGUUGUUUGGGAAUGCAGCCCUAAAUGGGAGGUAAAUUUCUUCUAAAGCUAAAUACCGGCCAGAGACCGAUAGCGCACAAGUAGAGUGAUCGAAAGAUGAAAAGCACUUUGGAAAGAGAGUUAAAAAGCACGUGAAAUUGUUGAAAGGGAAGCGCUUGCAAUCAGUCUCGACGGCGGCUGUUUGGCCUCUCUUCUGAGUGGUUUAUUCAGUCGCCGCCGGGCCAGCAUCAGUUUUGGCGGCCGGAUAAAGGCGCGGGGAAUGUAGCUCCCUCGGGAGUGUUAUAGCCCCGCGUGCAAUACGGCCCGCCGGGACUGAGGUCCGCGCUUCGGCUAGGAUGCUGGCGAAAUGGUUGUAAGCGGCCCGUCUUGAAACACGGACCAAGGAGUCUAACAUCUACGCGAGUGUUUGGGUGUCAAACCCGUGCGCGCAAUGAAAGUGAACGGAGGUGGGAACCGCAAGGUGCACCAUCGACCGAUCCUGAUGUCUUCGGAUGGAUUUGAGUAAGAGCGUAGCUGUUGGGACCCGAAAGAUGGUGAACUAUGCCUGAAUAGGGUGAAGCCAGAGGAAACUCUGGUGGAGGCUCGCAGCGGUUCUGACG